UUCGGCACUUAAGGGAAAAGUUAAGGGGAAAUGAAAUGAACGUGCGGUGCGACAGUUUAUCCACUGAUUAUCUGUUUUUUUCGACACUUCUUGAUGUGUAAACAUUUUAGACAUUUGGGUAAGACAUUAACUAUGCCUGACAAGAGCUAUUGUAUUUGUAAAAUUUGUAUUUUAUUUGUGAAAACGUUUAAGGGGAUAUUUCACCGUUUUUGCUUUAUAACCAGUCCUUAUUAGACCAGGUCCAGAUUGAAAACCACUGUACCUACACUCCUCACAUCUGUACUCAACUAUUCUACAGAGCCUGAAAAUUCAUAAAAACAUAGUCUCUGAUUUGUGAAAACUUUAUUCUAUUUGUGAAAAUGCAAUAAAGGCACAUUUUACAGUUUUUUUCUCAUCCAGACCACAUUAGACCAGGUCCAGGUCGAGAACCGCUACACGUAGACUCUUCAAAUCUGGACUGAAUUAUUCUACAGAGCCUGUAGAUUCAUAAAAACAUAGUCUCUGAUUUGUGAAAACUUUAUUCUAUUUGUGAAAAUGCAAUAAAGGCACAUUUUACUGUUUUUUUCUCAUCCAGACCACAUUAGACCAGGUCCAGGUCGAGAACCGCUACACUUAGACUCUUCAAAUUUAGACUGAAUUAUUCUACAGAGCCUGUAGAUUCAUAAAAACAUAGUCUCUGAUUUGUGAAAACUUUAUUCUAUUUGUGAAAAUGCAAUAAAGGCACAUUUUACAGUUUUUUUCUCAUCCAGACCACAUUAGACCAGGUCCAGCUCGAGAACCGCUACACUUAGACUCUUCAAAUCUGGACUGAAUUAUUCUACAGAGCCUCUGAAUUCAUAAAAACAUAGUCUCUGAUUUGUGAAAACUUUAUUCUAUUUGUGAAAAUGCAAUAAAUGCACAUUUUACUGUUUUUUCAGCAUAUAGACCACAUUAGACCAGGUCCAGGUCGAGAACCGCUACACGUAGACUCUUCAAAUCUGGACUGAAUUAUUCUACAGAGCCUGUAGAUUCAUAAAAACAUAGUCUCUGAUUUGUGAA